UACGGAAGGCAGCGGUGGGGAAUAUUGCACAAUGGGCGCAAGCCUGAUGCAGCCAUGCCGCGUGUAUGAAAAAGGCCUUCGGGUUGUAAAGUACUUUCAGUCGUGAGGAAGGUGUUAAGGUUAAUAACCUUAGCAAUUGACGUUAGCGACAGAAGAAGCACCGGCUAACUCCGUGCCAGCAGCCGCGGUAAUACGGAGGGUGCGAGCGUUAAUCGGAAUUACUGGGCGUAAAGGGCACGCAGGCGGUUAAUUAAGUUGGAUGUGAAAUCCCCGGGCUUAACCUGGGAAUGGCAUUCAAGACUGGUUAGCUAGAGUCUUGUAGAGGGGGUAGAAUUCCAUGUGUAGCGGUGAAAUGCGUAGAGAUGUGGAGGAAUACCGGUGGCGAAGGCGGCCCCUGGACAAAGACUGACGCUCAUGUGCGAAAGCGUGGGGAGCAAACAGGGAUUAGAUACC
rnacentral:rRNA from 1 species